GCGCGGGAGUGCCGCAGCGGGUGUCCGGGAGUAACCUUGCCGCGGAAUUUGGCAGACGCGCAGGAUUCAGGUUCCUGUGUCCGUUACGGACGUGAGGGUUCAAGUCCCUCCUCGCGCA
rnacentral:tRNA from 1 species